rnacentral:rRNA from 1 species
UACAGAGGUCUCAAGCGUUGCUCGGAAUCAUUGGGCGUAAAGGGUAGGUAGGUGGUCUCAUUUGUCCGGGGUGAAAUCCUUGAGCUUAACUCAAGAAGUGCCCUGGAAACGGUGAGACUGGAGUCCUGGAGAGGGUCGUGGAAUUCCCGGUGUAGCGGUGAAAUGCGUAGAGAUCGGGAGGAACACCAGAGGCGAAGGCGGCGACCUGGACAGGUACUGACACUGAACUACGAAAGCGUGGGGAGCAAACAGG